AUGACCAGUAGUGUCACCAAUGAAUACAGAAUAUGCAGUACUGUACUCUUCAAACCCAGCUCCAGCUUUACUCUUUCUUCGUAUCUCCAGUCAUCCAUCGCUCCGUCACUGUUUACCGAGGAUAAAUAUAUCCUCAGUCUACACUGCUGUUACUGUGUGAGGAGAGAGUGUAUUCACCUGCGUUGGUCAGGGUCCGCUAUGUGGCUGCUUAGGGAUCCUGCUGUGAGAAGAGAAGGGGUAUCUAUCUAUCCAUCAGCGGUCCAGAUCCUGCUCUCAGCACAGUGUAAUCCCACUACAAUGUCAGCCAAGAGACAGGUAUUAAUAUCUCCUGAGUGGCAGAGCUGGUAUUCACAGCUCUCUCACACACACACACACACUCCAUCUCUCUCACUCUCUCUCACACACACACUCCAUCUCUCUCACUCUCUCUCUCACACACACUCCAUCUCUCUCACUCUCUCUCACACACACACUCCAUCUCUCUCACUCUCUCUCUCACACACACUCCACCUCUCUCACUCUCUCUCUCACACACACUCCAUCUCUCUCACUCUCUCUCACACACACACUCCAUCUCUCUCACUCUCUCUCUCACACACAUUCCAUCUCUCUCACUCACACUCCAUCUCUCACUCUCUCUCACACACACACUUCAUCUCUCUAUCACACACUCCAACUCUCUCACUCACACUCCAUCUCUCACUCUCUCUCUCACACACACUCCAUCUCUCUCACUCUCUCUCACACACACACUCCAUCUCUCUCACUCUCUCUCACACACACUCCAUCUCUCACUCUCUCUCACACACACACUUCAUCUCUCUAUCACACACUCCAACUCUCUCACUCACACUCCAUCUCUCACUCUCUCUCACACAAACACUUCAUCUCUCACACACACUCCACUUCACUCCUUUUUCUCCUCAUCCCUCUAUCUCUCUCCUUCACACACACACACACACGCACUCGUGCUUCUAUAAAUGUACUUGUCAUAUAAAUAAUAACUAA
rnacentral:lncRNA from 1 species